UGCGCAGGUGGGCUUGUAAGUCAGUGGUGAAAUGCUGCCGCUUAACGGUAGAAUUGCCAUUGAUACUGUGAGUCUUGAGUAUGGUUGAGGUAGGCGGAAUGUGCAGUGUAGCGGUGAAAUGCAUAGAUAUUGCACAGAACUCCGAUUGCGAAGGCAGCUUACUAAGCCAUUAUGACGCUGAGGCACGAAAGCGUGGGGAGCGAACA
rnacentral:rRNA from 1 species